UAAUUCUUCCCCUGUGGCUCUGAUGAGGCCCUAUGUUUGUCCCCCAAGGCAGCAACAGUUCCCAGUGUCACACAGUGCUCUGAUGUGUCUCUCACGACUCCUAAAGUGUGAGACGGCGGCCUGUGAGGACAGAGGGACACGGGAUUGCUCAGUCUCUGCACCCCCCACUGGGACGUCAGUGUCCCCGACCACUCUUCCUGCACCUGAACAUGUCUGCGUGUCUGUGUCCCUGCAGCCUAAUGUGAGGACACAGGGACUCAGCCUGUCCCUGAGCACUGGGACCCCUUGCCACACUGCCCUGUGCUCUCUGCCCUGACCAGCUUUCCUGCUCCAGGAGGGUCAGGAUGGGAUGUGUCCACUCCAUCUCACCUUCGUGUUGCACUGAGCUGCAGCUUCCUUCUUCCUUAUUGAAAAUAAGAAUUUGGAUAUUGAUUUGUUUUUUACAUUCUUGCUGUAGAAGUCAUCGAUGAAUAAACUGAAGAAGAAGCUUUUCAGAACUCAGGACAGGAAAUAAAACCUGAGAGCUGCCCA